ACAACUUUCAACAACGGAUCUCUUGGUUCUGGCAUCGAUGAAGAACGCAGCGAAAUGCGAUACGUAGUGUGAAUUGCAGAAUUCAGUGAAUCAUCGAAUCUUUGAACGCACAUUGCGCCCUUUGGUAUUCCAAAGGGCAUGCCUGUUCGAGCGUCAUUU
rnacentral:rRNA from 11 species